CCUACGGGUGGCAGCAGUGAGGAAUAUUGGUCAAUGGACGAGAGUCUGAACCAGCCAAGCAGCGUGAAGGAUGACUGCCCUAUGGGUUGUAAACUUCUUUUAUAAAGGAAUAAAACGAGGCACGUGUGCCUUUUUGCAUGUACUUUAUGAAUAAGGAUCGGCUAACUCCGUGCCAGCAGCCGCGGUAAUACGGAGGAUGCGAGCGUUAUCCGGAUUUAUUGGGUUUAAAGGGUGCGCAGGCGGAUUUUUAAGUCAGCGGUAAAAUCGUGGGGCUCAACCCCAUCCAGCCGUUGAAACUGGGGGUCUAGAGUGGGCGAGAGGUAUGCGGAAUGCGUGGUGUAGCGGUGAAAUGCAUAGAUAUCGCGCAGAACCCCGAUUGCGAAGGCAGCAUACCGGUGCACAACUGACGCUCAGGCACGAAAGCGUGGGUAUCGAACAGGAUUAGAUACCCGAGUAGUC
rnacentral:rRNA from 1 species